rnacentral:rRNA from 1 species
GAUGAACGCUGGCGGCGUGCCUAAUACAUGCAAGUCGAGCGAACGGACGAGAAGCUUGCUUCUCUGAUGUUAGCGGCGGACGGGUGAGUAACACGUGGAUAACCUACCUAUAAGACUGGGAUAACUUCGGGAAACCGGAGCUAAUACCGGAUAAUAUUUUGAACCGCAUGGUUCAAAAGUGAAAGACGGUCUUGCUGUCACUUAUAGAUGGAUCCGCGCUGCAUUAGCUAGUUGGUAAGGUAACGGCUUACCAAGGCAACGAUGCAUAGCCGACCUGAGAGGGUGAGCGCCACCAGGGGACUGGACACCCGGCCCGGCCCCCGAGGGGAGGCGGAAUGGGGAAUUCUUCCGAAAGGGGCAAAGCCCGGAGGGGGCAACGCCGCGGGAGUGAUGAGGUUCUUCGGAUGUUAAACCUCUUUUAUAAGGAAAAAAAAUUGGUGAAAUAAAGUGUGCACAUCUGACGGCACCCUAACCAAAAACCCACGCCAACCCCGGGC